rnacentral:tRNA from 1 species
AGUUAAUGAGCUUGUUUAAGCUUAUAUUUUGAAAAUAUAAGAAAGAGUAUUUCUCUAUUAACUU